GACGAACGCUGGCGGCGUGCCUAAUACAUGCAAGUCGAGCGGACGGAUGGGAGCUUGCUCCCAGACCGCCAGCGGCGGACGGGUGAGUAACACGUGGGCAACCUGCCUGUAAGCCUGGGAUAACUCCGGGAAACCGGGGCUAAUACCGGAUAACUCUUUCCCUCACAUGAGGGAAAGCUGAAAGAUGGCAUCUCGCUAUCACUUACAGAUGGGCCCGCGGCGCAUUAGCUAGUUGGUGAGGUAACGGCUCACCAAGGCGACGAUGCGUAGCCGACCUGAGAGGGUGAUCGGCCACACUGGGACUGAGACACGGCCCAGACUCCUACGGGAGGCAGCAGUAGGGAAUCUUCCGCAAUGGACGAAAGUCUGACGGAGCAACGCCGCGUGAGUGAUGAAGGUUUUCGGAUCGUAAAACUCUGUUGUCAGGGAAGAACAAGUACCGGAGUAACUGCCGGUACCUUGACGGUACCUGACCAGAAAGCCACGGCUAACUACGUG
rnacentral:rRNA from 1 species